rnacentral:rRNA from 1 species
AUUGAACGCUGGCGGCAGGCCUAACACAUGCAAGUCGAACGGUAACAGGAAGCAGCUUGCUGCUUCGCUGACGAGUGGCGGACGGGUGAGUAAUGUCUGGGAAACUGCCUGAUGGAGGGGGAUAACUACUGGAAACGAUAGCUAAUACCGCAUAACGUCGCAAGACCAAAGAGGGGGACCUUAGGGCCUCUUGCCAUCGGAUGUGCCCAGAUGGGAUUAGCUAGUAGGUGGGGUAACGGCUCACCUAGGCGACGAUCCCUAGCUGGUCUGAGAGGAUGACCAGCCACACUGGAACUGAGACACGGUCCAGACUCCUACGGGAGGCAGCAGUGGGGAAUAUUGCACAAUGGGCGCAAGCCUGAUGCAGCCAUGCCGCGUGUAUGAAGAAGGCCUUCGGGUUGUAAAGUACUUUCAGCGGGGAGGAAGGGAGUAAAGUUAAUACCUUUGCUCAUUGACGUUACCCGCAGAAGAAGCACCGGCUAACUCCGUG